GUUCCUGCAGCGCAAUGGAUAGCGCGUUGAACUUCUAAUCCAAAGAUCGUGGGUUUGAAUUUCACCUGGGAUG
rnacentral:tRNA from 1 species